GUGACCAGCUGGCAGGAUGGGGACUGCGGCAGGGUCUCCCGCACCCAGCGUGUCUUGCCGUGUUUCGGGGUUCACCGCUGCAGGCUGAGGUCACCAAAAAGAGACCGAAAGCAUAGAGAGGGGUAACUGGCAAAAGGCAGAGCUCUCCGCUACUGUAGAUGGGGCGCUGGACAUGUUGCCUUUGCUCCAGAGUUGCAGAUUCGUUGAUGCUGCUCCUGGUGUUGGCUCUGAGCUGUAACCCUUCCACAGCAGCAACAGCUUCUCCGUCUGCGCCCCACACCAAACCCAGCUACAGUUUUGGCCGGACUUUCCUGGGACUUGAUAAAUGCAACGCCUGCAUUGGGACAUCCAUUUGCAAGAAAUUCUUUAAAGAAGAAAUAAGGUUUGACACCUGGCUUUCUUCUCAUUUAAAGCUGCCACCCAGCUACCUGCUCAGCUACUCGGGCAACUACACUGACGAUGCCAAGAGCUGGCGGCUUGUGGACAUCACCCGGCUGACCUCCAAGUACCGGCACGACCGGGCUGACAAGCGCAUCUGCACCUCCCUGCUGAAGACCAAGACCUGCAGCCUGGAGCGCGCCCUGCGCCGCACGCAACGCUUCCAGAAAUGGCUGCGGGCCAAGCGCCUCACCCCCGACCUGGUCCAGGGCCUGUCCAGCCCAAUGCUGCGCUGCCCAUCCCAGCGUCUCCUGGACAGGAUAGUGCGGCGCUACGCUGAGGUGCCAGAUGCUGGCAGCAUCUACAUGGACCACCUCACUGACCGGGACAAACUGCGCCUGCUGUACACGCUGUCAGUGAAUUCACACCCCAUCUUGUUACAGAUCUUCCCCGACGUGGAGGGAUGGCCCUUCCCGCGGUACCUGGGCUCCUGUGGGCGGCUGGUGGUCAGUGCCAGCACCCGGCCCCUGCGCGACUUCUACAACGCAGCUCCCGAGGUGGCCGCCGACCUGGCCCUCCAGCUCCUGGCCGUCCUCCGCUCCAUGGGCACCAAUGACCUCAACUAUUUCUUCUACUUCACCCACGUGGACGCUGGCACCUUCGGUGUAUUUAGCAACGGGCAUCUGUUCAUCCGGGAUGCCAGCACGCUGGGGAUCAUUGACAAGGAGGAAGGGAGCCAGCUGAUUGACAGACAACAGGAGUACAAAGAUAUAUUUAGCUGUUUGACUGUGGACUGCCAGUCUGCAUUUGUGUCCUGUAACUCCAUCAGAGAGAAGCACAGCCUCGUCAUGGUGUGUCAAGAGCUUUUGCCUAAGCUCCUGAAGGGGAAAUUCCUGCAACCCGUGCAGGAGAAAAUAGACAGCUUCCUGCAGCACUGCGCCGAUGGCCUUGCCGAUGACCAGGGCAUCAACGAGGCGGUUGCAGAGCUGGCAGAGAUCCUGAAACCUCUACGGUCUUGCGAUUCCCGUUUUGCCUACCGCUACCCUGACUGCAAAUACAGUGACAAAUACUGAUGGCUUUGGAGAAGGAGUCCCCUGGGAAGGACUGGGGCAGUGUCGGCCCCCUGCCAGCGCGGGAAGCAAGAAGGAACCAGGAUAGCUGGAAAGAGCUGCACCAAAUCUGGGGCUUCCUCAUCAAGGCGGAGAAUGAGGGAGCAGAGUGUACAUGGGAUUUAUUGUUCAUCUCCCAGAGAUGCAUUUGUUACAUGGGAUAUUAGACAUGAUGUAAGGCUUAUGGAUUAUUAGCAUUAUCAUGAGUGACAGGGGCUACAGGAUUAAUAAAUCUUAUUCACAUAUUUUGGCCUUGGAAGGGUUUUCCAUGCCAUCCGUUAAAAAGGAACUGCCUGAAGGCAGCACACUCACAACUAGCUAGAUAGAGGAGCUUUAUUACCAAGAAUGUCUUUCUGAUCAAGAUCAUAUAUACAUAAUGUGGGAUGGAUGGAAGCAUUUAAGAAUUUCCUUGUGGGGAUUUUUAAAUCAUAGAUAAACUGACUCACCGCAUCAGUUCUGUACCAUCACCCAUCACAGGUCACUUUUAUAAAAUAUUUAAACUGUAUUACUUUUAUGGCACACAGAACAGAAAGAUGCAAUCAACAGCCUUAAAAAGCUGAGAGGCCCAAUGUCUCUUGAGACUUAAUUUCUCUAAUCCCCCAAUAUAAUUACUUUUAGUCUUUCCCAAGUUGAUGGGUAGUAACUGGAGACUAAUAAAUAUUCUUGUUUUAAGUUCAGAAAAACUCCCAGCUCUGGGAUGUGAUUGUCCAGUAGAUACUUUCACACUUUUCUUUCUAAAGAAAACUGAAGGAAUCAUUUGCACGAAAUCAUUUAAAUAGGGAAAAUACCUUAAGAGGAGAAACAACACAGGCAGAGGAGGAGAGAUUAGUUCACCCUGAGCCUGGUGAGACUUGCUGAACACUCAAUACUCCAGUGUAGGUGCUGGGGCACCCCCUAAAGACCUGGGGAGGUCUAAGUCCUGACCAGCAAGAGGUACAGCCAUCCUCAUCCAUCUGCUUUUCAAAGGAGGAAUCAGUAAGCCAGUCUCCAAAGGACUGACACAAGCACCUAAUAUUUGGGGCGCUGGACUCUUUUUUCACAGCAGUGGCCACCCAACACAGGUGCCCCAUUUUGUGGGGGAAGGUUGCAAAUGUUGCAAACCACAACUUUCUCACCCAGCACCUGUCAGUCCCUGUCCCGUGUGCUCCCUGUGGGGUGUCAGACACCCACACCAAACCUUCCUUGAUGUCUAGGGGACUGCCAGACCUCACCUGGGUGUGAGGCUUUCUCUUGGGAUACAGCUGCACGGGAGUCACCAAGAAAAUUUGACUGAGCUGAGUCAGAAACUAGACUCUCUGGAUCCCCCAUCCGGAUCUGUGAGCACACCCGUUCCUGCUCUGAGACACUGGCCAGCUUCUUCUGGAGCAAGUAGGGGCAAAGGCCCUUGGCACAGCGCCCUAAAUCACCUCCUGCUGCUGGACGAGGAUAGAAGGAUGCUACGUGGCAGACGAGUGAGCUCUUCUAGAGGGAAGCCAGGUUUGCAGGUUGCAAGGACAGCUGUGAGCCGCUUCAUGACUUAACUUUCUAAGCCAUAUAUGGAGCCCAACAGGAAAGCCUGAUCUGCUGUGAUGUCUGCCCAAGUCUUUCUUCAAGAGCCCUGCAACAGUGGGAUCUGUUUAAAGGCACCACAUUAGAAGCUCAGAGUAAAUGCGUACCGACAAGAAAUAAAAAAAUAAAUACACACAUACCCCAGGUGGCUAAACAGUAGCACAACGGAGGGAUUCAAAGCAAACAGACACCCUUCAAAAAGUAGAAAUCAAAUGCAGAAAUUAGGCAAAUUAGAUGCAAGACUACAAUAAGGCAGCCCCAGAAGAGAAACCCAAGGAGCUACUUGCUCACAGCGUGGAGGCUGACAAUAAACCCUUUCUCAAACACACCAGAAGCAGAAAGCCUGCCAGAAGAGCUGCUGUGGCCAGCACGCAAUCUCAGCGCAAGGAGGCCCAAGGAACAAAAAAAUCAGUAUUUUGCAAUGUUAUUCACAGGCAGUGUCUCAAAGAAGAAAUAGUAGUAGCUUAAGCAAAUCUGUUAAGAGCAAAAUGAGGUAAAAACCCACCCCAUUCUCCCCAUUUGUCGGGGUAAGGAGUCGAUACACGGGGGAGGGUGGGGGGGGCCAUGCAGCUCACCUCAACUAAGACUUUGCUGCUGCUCUAUAGGAAAGUUGGCAAAUAACGGUUCUGACGGAAAUAUUACGCAGGGGGUGCGAGUGAGGAGCCCUGCUCAGUAAUUUGCUGCCAAGGCAGGCGACACACAGGAUGGGCACGACCCCAUUCAAGGCAGAUGCUCAUCGUGGGGAGAAAACCAGGAGCAGAGCAGCAGUUUGAGCAGGGGCUCCAGGGAGCUCAUCCUGCCAAGGGAGCCUGGAAUGAGUUGGGUUUUUUGGAGCACAGCACAGAGGAAAACGGGAUAACCAGAUGGGCACAAGCAUGGGAGGAUUUUCCCAGGGGAGGUCAGCUUCGCAAGGCAUCAUGAGCCUAAAGAGAGGUGACUGCGGAGAAAAUCCCCAUGUCAGGGAUUGUAGGGUGGUGGGAGGACAUAGCAGGAGAAGGAUCCCUCUUUGUCUUGUUUCUUACAUUCCUCCCCAAACACAACACUGGAGAUUUGGCCUGAUGUGUCAGCCCAAGUGAAUUUCAAAGGUCACAGGAAAAGCCGUGAACGAGGGCUGGGGCUCCUGGGGUGACGUCCCAGUUUGUGGCCAGGAAGCCACUUCCGAUGACCAAGGAAACAUCUCCCUCAGUGGAAAAGGAGUCUUUAGCUUUGUGAUGUCCAUAAAAUUA